GUAGGUGCGAGCGUUAAUCGGAAUUACUGGGGCGUAAAGCGUGCGCAGGCGGCUUUGCAAGACAGAUGUGAAAUCCCCCGGGGCUCAACCUGGGGAACUGCAUUUGUGACUGCAAGGCUAGAGUACGGCAGAGGGGAUGGAAUUCCGCGUGUAGCAGUGAAAUGCGUAGAUAUGCGGAGGAACACCGAUGGCGAAGGCAAUCCCCUGGGCCUGUACUGACGCUCAUGCACGAAAGCGUGGGGAGCAAACAGGAUUAGAUACCCUGGUAGUCCACGCCCUAAACGAUGUCAACUGGUUGUUGGACGGCUUGCUGUUCAGUAACGAAGCUAACGCGUGAAGUUGACCGCCUGGGGAGUACGGCCGCAAGGUUG
rnacentral:rRNA from 1 species